rnacentral:rRNA from 1 species
UACAGAGGGUGCGAGCGUUGUUCGGAAUUACUGGGCGUAAAGCGCACGCAGGCGGCCUUUUAAGUCUGACGGUGAAAUGCCGGGGCUCAACCCCGUGCCCGCCGCGGAUACUGGGAGGCUGGAGACAUGUAGAGGCAAGCAGAAUUCCGGGUGUAGCGGUGGAAUGCGUAGAGAUCCGGAAGAACACCGGAGGCGAAGGCGGCUUGCUGGCCAUUGUCUGACGCUGAGGCGCGAAAGCGUGGGGAGCGAACAGG